GCUGGGCAUGGUGGUACAUGCCUGUAAUCCCAGCUACUCAGGAGGCUGAGGCAGGAGAAUCACUUGAACCCAGGAGGCAGAGGUUGCAGUGAGCUGAGAUUGCACCACUGCACUCCAGCCUGGGUGACAGAGUGAGACCCCGUCUCAA
ensembl:misc_RNA Metazoa_SRP Metazoan signal recognition particle RNA